rnacentral:hammerhead_ribozyme from 1 species
GCACUGCUGACGAGUCCCGAAAACAAGACGAAACAGCUGUCCAAUGC